rnacentral:rRNA from 1 species
UUGGUUAAGUGUCCGCAGCCGGAUGGGUAAGCGGUUCGUCAAAGCCCACCGCUCAACGGUGGAAGGCGUACCGAACUGCCCAUCUUGAGGCACGCUCAGGCAGGCGGAAUUUCCCGGUGUAGCGGUGAAAUGCAUAGAUAUUACUUAGACACCAAUUGCGAAGGCAGGUUUACUAUGUCUUAAACUGACGCUGAUGGAACGAAAGCG